rnacentral:rRNA from 1 species
CUAAGCGUACACGGUGGAUGCCCUGGCAGUCAGAGGCGAUGAAGGGCGUGCUAAUCUGCGAUAAGCGCCGGUAAGGUGAUAUGAACCGUUAUAACCGGCGAUACCCGAAUGGGGAAACCCAGUGUGAUUCGUCACACUAUCAUUAACUGAAUCCAUAGGUUAAUGAGGCGAACCGGGGGAACUGAAACAUCUAAGUACCCCGAGGAAAAGAAAUCAACCGAGAUUCCCCCAGUAGCGGCGAGCGAACGGGGAGGAGCCCAGAGCCUGAAUCAGCAUGUGUGUUAGUGGAAGCGUCUGGAAAGGCGCGCGAUACAGGGUGACAGCCCCGUACACAAAAGCGCAUGUGCUGUGAGCUCGAUGAGUAGGGCGGGACACGUGGUAUCCUGUCUGAAUAUGGGGGGACCAUCCUCCAAGGCUAAAUACUCCUGACUGACCGAUAGUGAACCAGUACCGUGAGGGAAAGGCGAAAAGAACCCCGGCGAGGGGAGUGAAAAAGAACCUGAAACCGUGUACGUACAAGCAGUGGGAGCCCCACCACUAAGCCAGUGGUGAACUCCACAUCCGCAUCCUUUGCUGAGGAUACGGUUAACGGAGCGAAAGCGACGUUCAACCGCAAAACAAGCAGAGGGGGCUUAGUGGUGGGGUGACUGCGUACCUUUUGUAUAAUGGGUCAGCGACUUAUAUUCUGUAGCAAGGUUAACCGAAUAGGGGAGCCGGAGGGAAACCGAGUCUUAAUUGGGCGUUAAGUUGCAGGGUAUAGACCCGAAACCCGGUGAUCUAGCCAUGGGCAGGUUGAAGGUUGGGUAACACUAACUGGAGGACCGAACCGACUAAUGUUGAAAAAUUAGCGGAUGACCUGUGGCUGGGGGUGAAAGGCCAAUCAAACCGGGAGAUAGCUGGUUCUCCCCGAAAGCUAUUUAGGUAGCGCCUCGUGAAUUCAUCUCCGGGGGUAGAGCACUGUUUCGGCUAGGGGGCCAUCCCGGCUUACCAACCCGAUGCAAACUGCGAAUACCGGAGAAUGUUAUCACGGGAGACACACGGCGGGUGCUAACGUCCGUCGUGAAGAGGGAAACAACCCAGACCGCCAGCUAAGGUCCCAAAGUCAUGGUUAAGUGGGAAACGAUGUGGGAAGGCCCAGACAGCCAGGAUGUUGGCUUAGAAGCAGCCAUCAUUUAAAGAAAGCGUAAUAGCUCACUGGUCGAGUCGGCCUGCGCGGAAGAUGUAACGGGGCUAAACCAUGCACCGAAGCUGCGGCAGCGAACGUAUCACCCAAGACAACUUUACGGAGUUGACGAUUGACGGAGCGAAGCGACGUCAAAGCGUUCAUUAAAGUCGAGUUGGCUUAGGGAUACGUUCGUUGGGUAGGGGAGCGUUCUGUAAGCCUGUGAAGGUGUGUCGUGAGGCAUGCUGGAGGUAUCAGAAGUGCGAAUGCUGACAUAAGUAACGAUAAAGCGGGUGAAAAGCCCGCUCGCCGGAAGACCAAGGGUUCCUGUCCAACGUUAAUCGGGGCAGGGUGAGUCGACCCCUAAGGCGAGGCCGAAAGGCGUAGUCGAUGGGAAACGGGUUAAUAUUCCCGUACUUGGUGUUACUGCGAAGGGGGGACGGAGAAGGCUAUGUUGGCCGGGCGACGGUUGUCCCGGUUUAAGCGUGUAGGUGUGUGUUCCAGGUAAAUCCGGUUCACUUUAACACUGAGGCGUGACGACGAGGCACUACGGUGCUGAAGCAACAAAUGCCCUGCUUCCAGGAAAAGCCUCUAAGCAUCAGGUAACAUCAAAUCGUACCCCAAACCGACACAGGUGGUCAGGUAGAGAAUACCAAGGCGCUUGAGAGAACUCGGGUGAAGGAACUAGGCAAAAUGGUGCCGUAACUUCGGGAGAAGGCACGCUGACACGUAGGUGAAGUGAUUUACUCAUGGAGCUGAAGUCAGUCGAAGAUACCAGCUGGCUGCAACUGUUUAUUAAAAACACAGCACUGUGCAAACACGAAAGUGGACGUAUACGGUGUGACGCCUGCCCGGUGCCGGAAGGUUAAUUGAUGGGGUCAGCGCAAGCGAAGCUCCUGAUCGAAGCCCCGGUAAACGGCGGCCGUAACUAUAACGGUCCUAAGGUAGCGAAAUUCCUUGUCGGGUAAGUUCCGACCUGCACGAAUGGCGUAAUGAUGGCCAGGCUGUCUCCACCCGAGACUCAGUGAAAUUGAACUCGCUGUGAAGAUGCAGUGUACCCGCGGCAAGACGGAAAGACCCCGUGAACCUUUACUAUAGCUUGACACUGAACAUUGAGCCUUGAUGUGUAGGAUAGGUGGGAGGCUUUGAAGUGUGGACGCCAGUCUGCAUGGAGCCGACCUUGAAAUACCACCCUUUAAUGUUUGAUGUUCUAACGUGGACCCGUUACCCGGGUUGCGGACAGUGUCUGGUGGGUAGUUUGACUGGGGCGGUCUCCUCCUAAAGAGUAACGGAGGAGCACGAAGGUUGGCUAAUCCUGGUCGGACAUCAGGAGGUUAGUGCAAUGGCAUAAGCCAGCUUGACUGCGAGCGUGACGGCGCGAGCAGGUGCGAAAGCAGGUCAUAGUGAUCCGGUGGUUCUGAAUGGAAGGGCCAUCGCUCAACGGAUAAAAGGUACUCCGGGGAUAACAGGCUGAUACCGCCCAAGAGUUCAUAUCGACGGCGGUGUUUGGCACCUCGAUGUCGGCUCAUCACAUCCUGGGGCUGAAGUAGGUCCCAAGGGUAUGGCUGUUCGCCAUUUAAAGUGGUACGCGAGCUGGGUUUAGAACGUCGUGAGACAGUUCGGUCCCUAUCUGCCGUGGGCGCUGGAGAACUGAGGGGGGCUGCUCCUAGUACGAGAGGACCGGAGUGGACGCAUCACUGGUGUUCGGGUUGUCAUGCCAAUGGCACUGCCCGGUAGCUAAAUGCGGAAGAGAUAAGUGCUGAAAGCAUCUAAGCACGAAACUUGCCCCGAGAUGAGUUCUCCCUGAGACUUAGAGUCUCCUGAAGGAACGUUGAAGACGACGACGUUGAUAGGCCGGGUGUGUAAGCGCAGCGAUGCGUUGAGCUAACCGGUACUAAUGAACCGUGAGGCUUAACCUUACAACGCCGAAG